rnacentral:rRNA from 1 species
UACGUAGGCAGCAAGCGUUGUUCGGAAUUACUGGGCGUAAAGAGUGUGUAAGCGGUGCUCUAAGUCUGUCGUGAAAUCUCCCGGCUUAACUGGGAGGGUGCGGCGGAAACUGGAAUGCUAGAGGGUGGGAGAGGAAAGCGGAAUUCCUGGUGUAGCGGUGAAAUGCGUAGAUAUCAGGAGGAACACCUGCGGUGUAGACAGCUUUCUGGACCACUUCUGACGCUGAGACACGAAAGCGUGGGUAGCAAACAGG